GGCCCAGGGCUCUGGAGCACUCUCACUCCUCCUAGGAUAAGGUCCAGUUGCUGCAGACAAGCACCUCCUGGGCUCGGAUCAGCAGGAGCAACAGAGAAAGCCUUUGCAGCCUAAAGUGCAGAUGAGCCAUUCCCACCUGUAGGGCACCUCAAAACACACAGAUCCCUUCUCCAAGGAGGACUCUGCCCAGAAUGUGACUUUUCCUUCAUGAUGCAGCUACUGAGAGAGUAAGAGGCUGUCCCAGCAUGAGCGUGACAGAGACCUGGGUCUCGAGGGGCAACAGAUUCUGGGAUAAAACACACAAUGGCAGGAACUGCCCUCUUGACUCCACCUUGACUAUCACAACUACCAGUUGUGAUUACCCACAUGGUUCUUACGCAGCAGACUUUGUGAAGGUCAUGAGAGCUUUUGGGACAGGGACAUCCAAGCCCUUUGGCAGGGUAAAAUGGCAUCAGAAUUAGAAGUAACUCUAGGAAACUGGAGCAGUUGUCUCAGAUUUUCAGAAGGAAAUCGAAUGAAGAGAAAGUGCUUUUGGGAAGAUUACAUGAGAUGGCUUAUGGCUCUUGAAUUAAGAAGAAAAGGAAGUGGAGGUUGUAACCCAUCACAAUUUAACACUGAAAAUAAAAAAAAAGGUUAUUUUGAUAUUUCAA